AUGUCUUCCUCCUCCACCAGCGCUCCUCUGGCCGGCCUCAAUGGUCAAGUUACAGAGAAGCUCACCCGGACGAACUACGUCCUCUGGCGUGCGCAGGUCACGCCACAGCUGAUCGGGGCUGGUGUCUUCGGCUAUGCUGAAGGAACAACCAAAGAACCAGAGAAGUUCAUCACCACCAAGGACAAAGACGGCAAGGAAUCAGCCUCGCCGAACCCUCUUCAUCAAGUCUGGGUACGGGAAGAUCAGCAGGUAUUGGCAUAUUUGCUGGCUAAUCUUUCCAGAGAAGUUCUUGUCCAGGUGACCAACAUCCACAAGGCGCACGAACUCUGGGCUGCGGUGGCGAACAUGUUUCGUCCCAGUCCAGAUCGCGCGUGA
rnacentral:rRNA from 1 species